GCGCAUGGCGCGGCUAUACAUGCAGUCGAGCGGACAGAUGGGAGCUUGCUCCCUGAUGUUAGCGGCGGACGGGUGAGUAACACGUGGGUAACCUGCCUGUAAGACUGGGAUAACUCCGGGAAACCGGGGCUAAUACCGGAUGGUUGUCUGAACCGCAUGGUUCAGACAUAAAAGGUGGCUUCGGCUACCACUUACAGAUGGACCCGCGGCGCAUUAGCUAGUUGGUGAGGUAACGGCUCACCAAGGCGACGAUGCGUAGCCGACCUGAGAGGGUGAUCGGCCACACUGGGACUGAGACACGGCCCAGACUCCUACGGGAGGCAGCAGUAGGGAAUCUUCCGCAAUGGACGAAAGUCUGACGGAGCAACGCCGCGUGAGUGAUGAAGGUUUUCGGAUCGUAAAGCUCUGUUGUUAGGGAAGAACAAGUGCCGUUCAAAUAGGGCGGCACCUUGACGGUACCUAACCAGAAAGCCACGGCUAACUACGUGCCAGCAGCCGCGGUAAUAAAA
rnacentral:rRNA from 1 species